UUCGCCCUUAGAGUUUGCUUCUGGCUCAGGACGAACGCUGGCGGCGCGCCUAACACAUGCAAGUCGAACGAGCGAGAGAGAGCUUGCUUUCUCGAGCGAGUGGCGAACGGGUGAGUAACGCGUGAGGAACCUGCCUCAAAGAGGGGGACAACAGUUGGAAACGACUGCUAAUACCGCAUAAGCCCACGGCUCGGCAUCGAGCAGAGGGAAAAGGAGCAAUCCGCUUUGAGAUGGCCUCGCGUCCGAUUAGCUAGUUGGUGAGGUAACGGCCCACCAAGGCAACGAUCGGUAGCCGGACUGAGAGGUUGAACGGCCACAUUGGGACUGAGACACGGCCCAGACUCCUACGGGAGGCAGCAGUGGGGAAUAUUGCACAAUGGGGGAAACCCUGAUGCAGCGACGCCGCGUGGAGGAAGAAGGUCUUCGGAUUGUAAACUCCUGUUGUUGGGGAAGAUAAUGACGGUACCCAACAAGGAAGUGACGGCUAACUACGUGCCAGCAGCCGCGGUAAAACGUAGGUCACAAGCGUUGUCCGGAAUUACUGGGUGUAAAGGGAGCGCAGGCGGGAAGACAAGUUGGAAGUGAAAUCUAUGGGCUCAACCCAUAAACUGCUUUCAAAACUGUUUUUCUUGAGUAGUGCAGAGGUAGGCGGAAUUCCCGGUGUAGCGGUGGAAUGCGUAGAUAUCGGGAGGAACACCAGUGGCGAAGGCGGCCUACUGGGCACCAACUGACGCUGAGGCUCGAAAGUGUGGGUAGCAAACAGGAUUAGAUACCCUGGUAGUCCACACCGUAAACGAUGAUUACUAGGUGUUGGAGGAUUGACCCCUUCAGUGCCGCAGUUAACACAAUAAGUAAUCCACCUGGGGAGUACGACCGCAAGGUUGAAACUCAAAGGAAUUGACGGGGGCCCGCACAAGCAGUGGAGUAUGUGGUUUAAUUCGACGCAACGCGAAGAACCUUACCAAGUCUUGACAUCCCUUGACAGGCAUAGAAAUAUGUUUUCUCUUCGGAGCAAGGAGACAGGUGGUGCAUGGUUGUCGUCAGCUCGUGUCGUGAGAUGUUGGGUUAAGUCCCGCAACGAGCGCAACCCUUAUGGUCAGUUACUACGCAAGAGGACUCUGGCCAGACUGCCGUUGACAAAACGGAGGAAGGUGGGGAUGACGUCAAAUCAUCAUGCCCUUUAUGACUUGGGCUACACACGUACUACAAUGGCGUUAAACAAAGAGAAGCAAGACCGCGAGGUGGAGCAAAACUCAGAAACAACGUCCCAGUUCGGACUGCAGGCUGCAACUCGCCUGCACGAAGUCGGAAUUGCUAGUAAUCGUGGAUCAGCAUGCCACGGUGAAUACGUUCCCGGGCCUUGCACACACCGCCCGUCA
rnacentral:rRNA from 1 species